rnacentral:snoRNA from 1 species
UUGCUGUGAUGAUACCAUGAACUGUAGUUUCAACUUGCUGAGAGUUCAGUGAGGAUGUUGAAUUUCCUGGCUGUGUCUGAGAAU